rnacentral:rRNA from 1 species
CCUACGGGAGGCAGCAGUGAGGAAUAUUGGUCAAUGGACGAGAGUCUGAACCAGCCAAGUAGCGUGAAGGAUGAAUGCCCUAUGGGUUGUAAACUUCUGUUAUAAAGGAAUAAUACGAGGCGCGGAUGCCUUUUUGCAUGUACUUUAUGAUUAAGGAUCGGCUAACUCCGUACGUGCAGCCUGGGUAAUACGGAGGAUCCGAGCGUUCUCCGUAUUUAUUGGGUUUAAAGGGAGCGUAGGUGGGUUGUUAAGUCAGUUGUGAAAGUUUGCGGCUCAACCGUAAAAUUGCAAUUGAUACUGGCAGUCUUGAGUACAGGUGAGGUAGGCGGAAUUCGUGGUGUAGCGGUGAAAUGCUUAGAUAUCACGAAGAACCCCGAUUGCGAAGGCAGCUUACUAAACUGUGCCUGACAUUGAUGCGCGAAAGUGUGGGUAGCAAACAGGAUUAGAUACCCGAGUAGUC